UGCAAGUCGAGCGAGAUCUUCGGGUCUAGCGGCGGACGGGUUAGUAACGCGUGGGAAUAUACCCUUUGGUACGGAAUAGCCUCGGGAAACUGAGAGUAAUACCGUAUGUGCCCUUCGGGGGAAAGAUUUAUCGCCAAAGGAUUAGCCCGCGUUGGAUUAGGUAGUUGGUGGGGUAAUGGCCUACCAAGCCUACGAUCCAUAGCUGGUUUGAGAGGAUGAUCAGCAACACUGGGACCGAGACACGGCCCAG
rnacentral:rRNA from 1 species